AUUCAUAAUGUUCCUGGUUGCUUUCUGUGAUAGUGAAUUGUUGACCAAUAUAAGCAUGUUUAAACACAACUUUCUACCCAUAGAUGUAAACCUGUUUAAGGCAAAUACCCAUUUGACUUAUGUUAGAUAUUCAAUGAAAUUCAAAACCAGGUUUGCUGGAUUCCAAAGUAGACCCAUUACCAUCACACUUCACUGGAGAAAACUGAAGGCCGCUAAUAUUGGGCUUACUACCCAUUUAUAGCACUGACUUAAGUUAUACAAAUGAAUAGGUUCUUGUCAUUGAGUCUAUUAGUAGGGAAGAGAAUACGCAGAGGAACGUCAAGGUUUCCAUGUCAAAUAAACUGAUACUAUUGCUACAGGGAUCACAGAAUACUGAAGGCAGCUAGGAUAGGAUGUCAUCAAUUCUUUUUUGGAUAAUUAACUUAAAUGUGCUCCAACUACACAAAGUAGCUUUAAAAUGUUCCCAUUAAUAUGAAGCAAUGUAACACCAGAGAUUAAGACCGGGUUACAGAGCCAGGCUGCCUAGGUCUGAAUCUGCAGCCUUGGGCAAGUUGUGCCUCAGCUUUCCUCUAUGGAAAUUGGGCAAAACAUGUAAAGUGCUUAGAAUGCAACACAUUAACUGCUACAUAAAUGUUUAUCUUCAGAUGAAAUAAAAAAAAGGGAUUCUAGUUCCAAAUUAUCAGACACUACUUUUUCUGAGCCAAGUUUCAUGAGAAGUGGAAGCAACUCAGAACUAGUAUGUAACUCACAAUGAAGAGGGUAAUUUGAAACCAUCUAUUUCUAAGUAGCAGACUUCAAAGGCAAGUUUCUAAUCCUUAACAUAGGGUACUUAGAUAAUUAUCUAAGUAAUCAAUUUUCCUUGAGCUUAACUAUAAUGCAACAGAUGCAGCUUCCUAACCAAUGGAGUACAUUCUUUGUUGCAAAGUAAACCACCUCACAUA